CGGAUGUUGUCAUCCGCGCUAGCAGCAGCAGCUAACAUCAUACGGAGCUAAUUAUCAGUUAUUAUCAGUUAUAAUCGAUCAAUACUGAUCAUCAUUGAUCAUCACUGAUUGGCUGGUUCGGGCGGAGCAGUUCCAGUUUGACUCGGUGAUGAUGUCAGAGGAGCAGACAGUGUCUCUGGUCGACGUCCUGGAGGAAGAUGAGGAAUUGGAGGAAGAAGCUUCAGCUGUGUUGGCAGGAAGUGACUCUGAUCACUGCUCGUACCCCGAGGGCUACGUGCAGCGGCAGGCUCUCUAUGCGUGUAACACGUGUUCUCCUAAAGGAGGCGCAGCAGCAGGCGUGUGCUUAGCGUGUUCAUACAAAUGCCACGAAGGUCACGACCUGUUCGAGCUCUACACCAAGAGGUAUGACAUCAUCAUUAUUGAUUAUCCAAGAGGUAUGACAUCAUCAUUAUUGAUUAUCCAAGAGGUAUGACAUCAUCAUUAUUGAUUAUCCAAGAGGUAUGACAUCAUCAUUAUUGAUUAUCCAAGAGGUAUGACAUCAUUAUUAUUGAUUAUCCAAGAGGUAUGACAUCAUUAUUA